rnacentral:pre_miRNA from 1 species
CUGUUCCUUUUUCCUAUGCAUAUACUUCUUUGACAUGUAACUUUAAAGAGGCAUAAGGCAUGGGAAAAUGGGGCUG